UUCUUUCACCAGCCUGCAGUUUGGCAGGUUCCUCAAAGAGAAAUGCUCUUAGAUUCAUUUAAAAGUCUAAGUAGGGACAGCACAAAUUAUUAGUGUUUGAAAUAUUUAUAAAGUCUCUUGUUUGCCAUGGCAUAGGAGGUGAUAGACCACAAAUAAAAGAAAACCGCAGAUGCACCACGCAUGGAGAGAGAGGGAGAGGGGCAGGAAUGUUGUCUGCCUGCCGCCACCUCAUUUUUGAAGGCUGCUAAGCCAGAGAUGCAGCAGUGAGCAAGAGAGAUUUGGCCCUUCCUUUCCUGACCUAGUAAAAGACAUGGUUUCAGGUAACGUCUUGCGCUUCCAGUUGAUCCCACAAGGAGCUCUGGAGUGUGACUUGUACCCUAGAGUUGUCCUGCCUUGGAGUAAAGAGGCUGGCCUUUUG
rnacentral:lncRNA from 1 species